AAUGUUCAGGAAUCAGCAACUUUCUCUAUUUUGGGCAAGUUUUUGGAUGUCUGUGGGUGAGGAAUUGCAUGUCGUGUCUGCUAAAGUUCCUGGAUUUUACUGGGAGGAGGAAUUGCAUUUUUGUGUUUUUCUGGACUUUUACCCUUGGUUGUUCCUUGCUUGUUUUUGUUGAUAUUGAAGAAAAGAUUAUUGUAUUCUUUCCAGAGAUAAGAGGAAUGGUCUUUGGGCGGCGGAUGUGCUGUCUGACAUCAUUCAAAUGACAUCAACACCCAAACAGUGAGGAUCACAGCGUUAUGGCAAUUCAUCAUGCUCUCUGCCAGUUCAUCCUCUCUGAUACGCUGGGACAGUGAAUGUUAUUUGUUCAGGUUUGGUUCCUGCGGUGCUGUCUCCAGAUUUCCUUGGGACCAUUUUUCUCCUGCUGGUACACAGCAUGUUUCCAAAGACACACUGGUCCUUGAAGUUGCACUGCAGUUCUCUUGUCUCCCAAGUGAUUUGUAUACACAGUUUUCUCUAUAGGAAAUAUUAUUCAUUAUCUAGAAUUAUUUUUUCCACAGUUGAUGAGUUGAUGGAAUGAUUAUUUCCAUUCUAUCAAAACAAGAAAAGCAGGAGAGAAAUCUGUCUUCUCUCUGUGUACCAUGCUACUCCUGAAAGUGAUGGUACAUUUGUCUAGGUGUAAUAGUUAAAAGAUCAGUCAAAGUGCAUCAAUUGUGGGCCUGUUUGGGGAAACAAAAAUCUUUUCUUAUGUUCAGCUGCACUAGAAGAGAGUAGUGUUGUUUCUGUGGGGCUGGAGCACCGGUGGUGUUUAUGUGGCUCCAUCAGCAGGCCACUUCCAUCAGCUCUUUGUGAUUCAGAACAGCCUGGCCUCCUUAGCUCCUUUUUUAAGGACCUCACCAUAAUAGAUGUCUUGCAGGGUUUGCAUGAAUGACCUCCAGUCUACUGUGUCCUGUUUGAAAGCUGCCGGUGACUCUUCCUUGUUCGUUAGUCACUAAUUUAAGUUCUGAAGAACUUGCUGCUUAUGAUACCGGUGGGGUGAUUCAAGGUUGCUUAGUUGUGGUGUUUCAUGAGAAUCACCACUUUUCAUUAAGGGAGAGGAAAGAAGUAAAUAUCUAGUGCUCUAAAUGAUUCCAGAAAGCAAGCUGAGCAUGCAGAGCUGCAGGGGCAAAAUUCAGAAGACAAGUUAAGACUCUGUAGCCUUUAAAAUGAUGUUAGCUAUUAUUUUUAGAUGUCAUGAUGUUUUUAAUGAACUCCUGAAUUUUUAGAGCCUGA
rnacentral:lncRNA from 1 species